rnacentral:rRNA from 1 species
UGAUCCUGGCUCAGGACGAACGCUGGCAGCGUGGAUAAGGCAUGCAAGUCUAAUCCGCUUUAGCGGAUGGCAGACGGGCUAGUAACACGUAAGAAUCUGCCCCAAAAUUUGGGAUAACCCGGAGAAAUCUGGGAUAAUACCGAAUGUGAUCUUCGGAUUAAAGGUCUAUUGUCUUUUAGACAAUAGAUCGUUUUGGGAUGAGCUUGCGUACUAUCAGCUUGUUGGUAGGGUAACGGCCUACCAAGGCGAUGACGGUUAGGGGGUGUGAGAGCAUGACCCCCAGCAUUGGCACUGAGACACUGGCCAAACACCUACGGGUGGCUGCAGUCAAGAACCUUCCACAAUGGGCGAAAGCCUGAUGGAGCGACGUUGCGUGCGGGAUGAAGGCCUUCGGGUUGUAAACCGCUUUUGUAGGGGAAGAAUCCGCCUUUGGCGGAUGACGGUACCCUUUCGAAUAAGAGGUUGCUAACUCUGUGCCAGCAGCAGCGGUAAUACAGAGACCUCGAGCGUUGUCCGGAUUUACUGGGCGUAAAGCGUCUGUAGGGGGCUUGUUAAGUCUUAAGUUAAAUCUUAAAGCUCAACUUUAAGUUCGCUUAAGAAACUAAUAAGCUAGAGCAUAGCAGAGGCGCAUGGAACUUGCGGUAUAGGAGUGAAAUCCUUUGAUAUCGCAAGGAAUACCAAAGGCGAAGGCAUUGCGCUGGGCUAUUGCUGACCCUGAGAGACGAAAGCGUGGGGAGCAAAACGGAUUAGAUACCCGUGUAGUCCACGCCGUAAACGAUGAAUACUAGAUGUCCGGGGUUUCGACCCCCUGGGUGUCGCAGCUAACGCGUUAAGUAUUCCGCCUGGGAAGUACGGCCGCAAGGCUAAAACUCAAAGGAAUAGACGGGGAUCCGCACAAGCGGUGGAGCGUCUGGUUUAAUUCGAUAGUAAGCGAAGAACCUCACCAAGACUUGACAUCCCGCGACAGCCUUGGAAACAAGGUUUCCUUCGGGCGCGGUGACAGGUGCUGCAUGGUCGUCGUCAGUUCGUGCCGUGAGGUGUUCCGUUAAGUCGGGAAACGAACGAAACCCCUUUUGUAUGUUAUAUUUUUCAUACGAUACUGCCCGGGUCAACUGGGAGAAAGGUGGGGAUGAAGUCAGAUCAGCAUGGUCCUUAUGUCUUGGGCUACACAGGCGCUACAAUGGCCGAUACAAUGGGUUGCCAAAUCGCGAGAUGGAGCUAAUCCCAAAAAGUCGGUCCCAGUUCGGAUUGGAGGCUGCAAUUCGCCUCCAUGAAGCCGGAAUCGCUAGUAAUCGUGGAUCAGCCAUGCCACGGUGAAUACGUUCCCGGAUCUUGUACUCACCGCCCGUCACACCAAGAGAGUUGGUAGCUCCCGAAGC